rnacentral:rRNA from 1 species
CGGAGGAAAAGAAACUAACAAGGAUUCCCCUAGUAGCGGCGAGCGAAGCGGGAAGAGCCCAAAAUGAAAAGCCUGCUUGCAGGCGUUGUAUUUGGGCGCUCUUGGGGUGUCAGUGCGGGCAAGUUGUAUGGAAAUACAUGCCGUGGAGGGUGAGAGUCCCGUCCAACCUGCACAGGACAGUCUUGUCAAGAGCGUCUCUGACGAGUCGGGUAGCUUGGGAAUGCUGCUCUAAUUGGUGGUAAAUCUCAUCAAAGGCUAAAUAAUGACCGGAAACCGAUAGCGAACAAGUACCGUGAGGGAAAGAUGACAAGCACUUUGAAAAGAGGGUGAAAAGAACCUGAAACCGUCAUGGGGGAAGCGGAUUGCGUUAAGGAAAAGGGAAUGUUGCGUGUUCAGCCGGUAACACGGUGCAUUGGCGCAGCGGACCGAUCUGUCGUGAGUUUUGSACGGUUGAUGUUGAACCGUGCAGGGCUGAGGGCUCCCUUUGAAAAGGUUGAGGACGAUGGAUAUUGACGCGAACCGACCCGUCUUGAAACACGGACCAAGGAGUCUAGCGCGACUGCGAGUCAGAGGGUGCAAGCCUGAGGGCGUAGUGAAAGCGAUUGUGAAAACAACAGUUUGGGGCGGCAUGAGAUUGUCAAUUUCAAGUCCGACCUUGAGCAGUUGCGCUGGGACCCGAAAGAUGGUGAACUAUGCCGGAGUAGGGCAAAGCCAGAGGAAACUCUGGUGGAGGCUCGUAGCGGUGCUGACGUGCAAAUCGCUCGUCCGACUUUGGUAUAGGGGCGAAAGACUAAUCGAACCAUCUAGUAGCUGGUUCCCUCCGAAGUUUCUCUCAGGAUAGCGGGCCGACGGGUGUUGUUUUGUGUGGUAAAGCGAAUGAUUAGCGCACUCGGGGGCAGACUGCCUUUGGGCGAUUCUCAAACUUUCAAUACGCAAGGGUGCCGCUGCUUGGUUGAGCGGCACCGGCAAAAACGUCGGCCCUGUGGGCCACUUUUGGUAAGCAGAACUGGCGAUACGGGAUGAACCGUAAGCGUGGUUAAGGCGCCCAAGUGCCCGCUUAUAGACCCCACAAAAGGUGUUGAUUCAUCGAGACAGCAGGACGGUGGCCAUGGAAGUCGGAAUCCGCCAAGGAGUGUGUAACAACUCACCUGCCGAAUGAAUUAGCCCUGAAAAUGGAUGGCGCUCAAGCGGGCGGCCGACACCACGCCGUCUGGACAAGAAAUGAUUCAGAUGAGUAGGAGGGCGUGGCGGUUGUUUCGAAGCGCCUGUGCAAACGGGUGUGGAACGGCUGCUAGUGCAGAUCUUGGUGGUAGUAGCAAGUAUUCAAGCGAGAUCCUUGAAGGGCGAAGCGGGGAAGGGUUCCACGCGAACAUUGAUUGGGCGUGGGUGAGUCGUUCCUAAGCCGAGUGGCAAUUGCUAAGUAGCGGCGAAAGGGAAGCGGGUUGAAAUUCCCGCACACGGAUGUGGAGGCGGUGACGCACGUUGGGACAAACACGUUGGCGAUGGCGCUGGGCAGAGUUGUCUUUUCUGUUUGACCUGUGGUGCGCUGUGUGGAAUCCGAUUGUCGGGAGAAACACGCGUGUUUGGGCAGAGCGCCGGGGUUUUUCCGGCGUCCAGCUCGCCAUCGACGACCCUUGAAACUUUGUCUGCUGAAUAAAUCCACGCCGUGGCGUACCGAUUACCGCAUCAGGUCCCCAAGGUGAACAGCCUCUGCUCAAUAUGAACAAUGCAGGUAAGGGAAGUCGGCAAAUUAGACCCCUAACUUUGGGAUAAGGGUUGGCUCUAGUGCUGCGUGGGAGUGGUUGCCGGGUGUUGGGGCGGUGGGUGAGGCGGACUGGCGCGGGAUUUGCCCAAUGUUUGUUUGGGUGAGACUUGUUCCGGCUGCUUUGCCCGCUGUUUCACGGCUGGCGACGCCCACAGCAUGCAGCAGACUAGAACUGCAACGGGCAAAGGGAAUCCGACUGUUUAAUUAAAACAAAGCAUUGCGAGGGCCGUGGCCGGUGAUGACGCAAU